rnacentral:rRNA from 1 species
ACAGAGGGUGCAAGCGUUAAUCGGAGUUACUGGGCGUAAAGGGCGCGUAGGUGGAUAUUUAAGUCGGAUGUGAAAUCCCCGGGCUUAACCUGGGAAUUGCAUUCGAUACUGGAUAUCUCGAGUAUGGUAGAGGAAAGCGGAAUUCCCGGUGUAGCGGUGAAAAGCGUAGAUAUCGGGAAGAGCAGAGGGGCGAAGGCGUGUUUCAGGACUAAUACGGACACUGAGGCGCGAAAGCGUGGGGAGCAACAAG